rnacentral:misc_RNA from 1 species
AGAGUUUGGUUGCAACUGGACUAUUAAUUAAACUUGGGCAUCUGCACACCUUUCUCUUUCAUCCCAUACACACCUGUGUACCUCAGCGAUAGAUAUUUUAUGAGUGGAAAAGCAUAACAUUAGACCUUCUACUCCCCCUUGACUUCUGUCUACUUAAUUCAUAUAAACUCAAUUUAUUUUAAAACGGAUGUAAUGGAUGUAACACAUCUAAUACUAAGUUUCAACAACGGAUCUCUUGGCUCUCGCAUCGAUGAAGAACGCAGCGAAAUGCGAUAAGUAAUGUGAAUUGCAGAAUUCAGUGAAUCAUCGAAUCUUUGAACGCACCUUGCGCUCCUUGGUAUUCCUUGGAGCAUGCCUGUUUGAGUAUCAUGAAAUCUUCAAAGUCAAACCUUUUGUUAAUUCAAUUGGUUCUGCUUUGGUAUUGGAGGAUUAUUGCAGCUUCACACCUGCUCCUCUUUGUGCAUUAGCUGGAUCUCAGUGUUAUGCUUGGUUCCACUCAGCGUGAUAAGUUAUCUAUCGCUGAGGACACCCUGUUAAAAAGGGGUGGCCAAGGUAAAUGCAGAUGAACCGCUUCUAAUAGUCCAUUGACUUGGACAAUAUCUAAUUUAUGAUCUGAUCUCAAAUC